rnacentral:lncRNA from 1 species
GAAUAUUGAGAAGUGAGUCUAUUGAAUAAAUUAAAAAUUGAUUUAUGAGUUAUUGAUUAUGUAAUUGGAGUAUUGAAAGAAUUAAAUUAUGACGAGUUAUUAAAAGAUUAUAAUUAUUGUUUAUUGAAAGCUGUGUGUGUUUUGGACAAAGAAAGUUAGUGAUUAUAGAAAUUUUGUGAAUUCUAAUUAGUUGGAGUGAAGUUUAUUAUUUCUGGUGUUGGAUGGAAAUUAUGUGUUUUGAGUGGUCUUUUGAUAGUGUAGGAUUGCACAUUAUUGUUAUCAGUUGACAAAGGAGUAUUGUUACUGGGAAAAAGUAUUUUAUUAUUUCUUAGUAUUUAAGUGGUUCGAAAUAUGGUUAAUUGUAUGA